ACAAGCUCACAGGUGGAAGGACAGGAGGCAAAAACCUAGUGAAUUUUUAAAGGAAAAAUGCUGUGAAGAUUUGACCACAAUUCUGUUUUCCCACCUCCCCAAAUUCUGUAUCAACCCAGCCACAUGUCAGACAUGAAGGACUUCAUCCAAGAGGAAAACAAGCACAGGAGGUGGCCUUUUUCUCCCCACAGGUGAGAUGAAUUUUCAGCCUCCUUUGCUCCCACAUCUCAUCUUAACCCACACGUAGGCUUGGGACUGCAUCCUGUCUGCUGUAGGCUGCGGACUCAGCAUCACGUCUCUGCUGGUCUGGAUGGGACCUUGGACCUCACUGCUUAAACCCAGGCUUCUUACUUGUUCCUGAGACCCAGUCAACCCUACUUCAGGUAAUGGGGUCUGUUAGGAGAACUUUCCAGUCCUGCAAUCAGAGGAUCUGAGCGCUGGCUCCAUCCCUCUGUAAGUAACUUUACGACUUCAGGCAUUUUACUUAAACCCACCAAGACCCAGUUUCUUCAGCUCUCAAAUGGGGACUAUACGCUCUUCUCAUAGGGUUGUUGGAAGGAUUAAAUGAGGUAUGAUAUGUGCAAGUAAUUAGUGCCUACACACAUAGUAGGUACUCAGCAAAUGUUGGGAGAGCCUAAGUCUGCCACACUCCUACACCCAUUUGUAUUAUCUUGCUGCAUCUUAAUGAAGCCAAUUCUUCUAAUGACCAUUCUUCUAAUGACCUCCGAGUAAGCCUUUUCCCCAGCUCCUGCCCUCCUCCAGUGGACAUAACUCUUUGCAAAUUUUAUGCUCACUCAGUGGCCCUGUUUGGCUGCAGCCAACCCUUCCCUGUCCGGCCUGAUCAUGAGAUAACCCUACCAAAGUGUGUGAGAGUGCAAAGGCACACUUUUCUGAAAAGAUGAGGGUAGGAAGCCGUGAAUCCCUGAAGGGCCAAGGGACCCAUCAAGGAGAGCCAGGCCUGAGAAACACGAUGCUAACUGCACAUUUCUACUUCAGGUUGGCUCUGAACAUUUGGCAAAUGCACCACCACUCUAGCAACAGGGAAAAUCAGCCAGGAGAGAACCUCUGUGAUUUUGUUGGCCUUGCCCCACUGUUCCCCCUGAGUCAUGCUUCCAAGGACAAGUGUAAAGCACAUCACUUUAAACACAGUGGUAACAAGCUUGAUGACAAAGGGGACCUCCGGCACUAGCAAGGAGGGGACUGGUCACUGGUGUGCUCAGAGAUGAGGCAGGAGAGAGAGUAGGGAUUAAAACUUAGAGGAGAAAGCAGUCCAUCUUGUUCAUAUGGGUUAAAAAAAUGAUGACAGAAGAGGUAAAAGGGAAGCCUAGGUUGUGAUAACACAUUAAGAGCUGCAGGAUAAAGAUCAGUUGCGUGAGAAGAAAGGCAUGUGGGGACAGCCCUUUUAAAGUCUGCUGGUUAAGAAAAAGCCCUAGUGAGAAAAUGAGGGCCGCUGGUUUGGGUGAAUCCUGGUGGGACUCAGAUGCUAUCUGGACAUGCGGAAAUUGUAUAUUUGGCUAGGAAAAGGAAUGGGAGAGAAGAGCAUGGAGUGACCGUUUUGGCUGUCCAAUGGGACAACGUUACUGGGGACAGAAGGAUCCUAACAUAUGGCAUUGAGCCUCAAGAGGGUAAAAGGAAGUUGGUAACACCUAGCCUUGCUUCUACUCCCUCCUUGAAGGACUGAAGUGCGGAGGGGGUGAAGAGGUGGGUGAGCACAAUCUUUCUCCUUGUUCCUCUGCCUUUCCUCGUGCUCACCUUUAACACUCUACUUCCCUUGCUCUUUUCCAAUCUCUCCACGCCACCCUCUUUUUCAGGUUUGUUAAUGUCAUUAGACUUGCUUCUGUGCUACCACGUGAGAUCGGACAGUAAAGGCCAUUCUUUGCCUUGUUUAUAAUGGCGUAGGCUUGGGUAUUCUGUCCCUUCAACAAAUAUUUUCUGAGAUUCUACUAUGGGAGAGGUCCUGUGUUAGGAAGACAGAGCUGAACAAGACAAACAGGCUUCCUGCCCUCGUGGAGGAGAGUAUAGAUCAGGGCCAGACAGGUUAGGCUAGCUGACCGAUCACACCAGGUGGUCUGUCAGAGGACUCAACUUGACCAAACCCCAGAGCAAGAGGCUAGAGAUCCAUUCUCAGGAGGAGAGCAGCCAGGAAAGCUCCGGAAGGGCCAGAAAGGAUAACUUAGGGCUGCAAAAAUGAGUUCCCUAAAUCUAUGAAUGGAACAUGGAUUAUGGGUCAGAGCAUUUGCUGUGGACCACCUCUAAGUGUUACACCUUAGAAACCCUGUGAAAAGGGAUCUAUAAAAUGCAUGUUUUUAUGCAGUUGUUUAUAACUACUCAAUCUACUUAUUAUGGUGAAAACGCCAUAACUCAAGUAGCCACACUGCAUCUUUUAUCCUUAAAUUUCUUCCAGCAUUAGGAUUCACUAUCAAAAUGUGAAUCCUCUAACGUAGAGUUUCCCAGAUCUACAUGAUCAGAAGAAUCACUUGAAGCACCUUUGGAAAAUAUUAACUCCAGGCCCCUCCUCUGGAAAGCCUGAUUCAACAGGUUUGGGUGGGAACCAGGAAUCUGUGUUAACAAGGAUCUCAGGUGAUUCUCACAAAAAGAUAAGUUUGAGAAACACUAGAAUGGAUAAUAUGCAAAUUAAGUCCCCAGUAGCCAGCUGUAAUUUUUCAAAUAUUUUUUGAACAUAUCCUGGAAGAAAUCCUAAGAUUAAUCAAGUAGAAAGGCAGUGGUUCCCUGUGGAAUCAGCACCAGGACUUAGCUAGCCUGAGGAGUUUCUACUAAAAGCAUGGAGAAACAAAGAUGGGUAGAAAGUCCCUCAGCUAGCAUGAAGGGACGGGAAACUAGUACUUAUUGGUUAUCUAACAGCAAAUCUAGUCAUAAACGCCAUAAGUUAAUGUUACAAAGCUAGUGAGCAUCUGGGCUUCUUUUGAACGCCACAUGAUAAAAUCAUACUGUAGGGCACUUGGUCCCCUCUGUGCAUUUUAUGAGCCAUCUCAUUGGCCUUUCACAACAAGAGAGAGUUGAGAUUUUGACUUUUGUCAUUACAUUUAUUUUACAGGAGAACACCCCCCAUGGCCACAGAAGUGGGUGGUGACCGAGAUGGACAAAGGACCUUAGAUCUUUACUCUUCUAAUUCACCAAACUACCAAACAUAUAUAAAACCUCCCUUGAAGAUAAUUUAUUUUAUUUAUUUAUUUUUGAGGAAGAUUCUCCCUGAGCUAACAUCUGCAGCCAAUCCUC